rnacentral:rRNA from 1 species
UACGUAGGGUGCAAGCGUUAAUCGGAAUUACUGGGCGUAAAGCGUGCGCAGGCGGCUUUGCAAGACAGAUGUGAAAUCCCCGGGCUUAACCUGGGAACUGCAUUUGUGACUGCAUGGCUAGAGUGCGGCAGAGGGGGAUGGAAUUCCGCAUGUAGCAGUGAAAUGCGUAGAUAUGCGGAGGAACACCGAUGGCGAAGGCAAUCCCCUGGGCCUGCACUGACGCUCAUGCACGAAAGCGUGGGGAGCAAACAGG